UCCCAUAUGGUGUAGUGGUUAGCAUACCAGGCUUUCACCCUGGAGCCCCGGGUUCAAUUCCCGGUAUGGGAA
rnacentral:tRNA from 1 species